GUCCUUGUCGAUUAGUGGUUAAAUCAUCUCGUUGUGGCAUUCAAAAGCGGGCUCCGAGAAGCCGGAAGUUCGAAUCCUCCCUGGGACA